rnacentral:rRNA from 1 species
UGACAUUAGAUACCCGCGUAGUCCCAGCCGUAAACAAUGUGCGUUAGGUGUGUCGGUAACCACGCGUUACUGAUGCGCCGAAGAGAAAUCGUGAAACGCACCACCUGGGAAGUACGGUCGCAAGGCUGAAACUUAAAGGAAUUGGCGGGGAGCACCACAACAGGUGGAGCCUGCGGUUUAAUUGGAUUCAACGCCGGACAUCUCACCGGAUAAGACAGCUGAAUGAUUGUCAAUCUGAAGGUUUUACAUGACUAGCUG